rnacentral:rRNA from 1 species
UACGAAGGGGGCUAGCGUUGCCCGGAAUCACUGGGCGUAAAGCGCUCGUAGGCGGCUUUCUACGUCAGGGGUGAAAUCCUGGAGCUCAACUCCAGAACUGCCUUUGAUACUGGAGAGCUUGAGUCCGGGAGAGGUGAGUGGAACUCCGAGUGUAGAGGUGAAAUUCGUAGAUAUUCGGAAGAACACCAGUGGCGAAGGCGGCUCACUGGCCCGGUACUGACGCUGAGGUGCGAAAGCGUGGGGAGCAAACAGG